AGGUGGUUAAAGUUUCCUAAUUUGAAACAAGGGCACCGGCAAUAAGAGAUGCACAACUUGAAUUGCAUUAAACCCAGCACAAAAGCACGUGACAUACGGACCGUUUCUGAUUCUGAUUGUAAACCAAUUACCAUGGCCGGUAUGAGGAUCUGUGCUCACAGGCAGGUUGAUUGACAGGUGUGAUGGUCAACAGCAAGGAGAGCUAGUCAAAUACAGAUGGAUAGACGAUAAGGCCUGGCUGAUGGAAACUCAGGCCCACAGCUCAGCAGCUGGACACUGGUGUUGCUGUAGCAGUAGGCAUGUGCUUAGACAACUUUUAUUUUGUAUUUCCUACGCAACAACACUGGACUGUGUUGUAGAGGUCGGGAAGUUCGCAGAGACUGGAGCGGAGUCAUUCAGCCGGGCAGUGGAAGGGUCCCAGCAUGAAGUUAACGUCCUCUCGAUGGAUUUGUCUCCACGGCAGUCCGUGCUGGGAGACGACACUCCUGAGAAUUCACGGAUGCAGAGCACAUUAGGGAAUGAGUCUGUGCCUAAUGAGCCCUCAGAGACUGAGUGCACUCGGAGGAAACUGCGGAAACAAAAGUUUUCUAAUAUUGUACUUUGAAGCAGAACGGAGACCUUUGCAGAUUUCCGUGGACCCUUCUGACAACUCGCCACCCUCAGAGAGCUGCAUUGAUUAAUAGCACCUUUCAAUUCUUAGUUCAUGUCACAACUUUUUUUUUUUCCCUGGUACUGGUUAGAGGAGAGAAAUAAAAAUGACAGGAGUUUGCAGAUUGAAUAGUGAGGGUCUGUCUUCGCCUGUCACCGUCACAAAAACACACAUUCAACUGAGAACUUGACAGCUUAUAAUGCUGCUAUUCUUAUCACUGUGAGAUUACUUCAUGUUAUUAGAACAAACAUCUCUUACAUUGCAUGUGAGUCUCUUCAGUGUAUUUUCAUAUAGUAAUUAUAAUGGAGGUGCUAAUAGAGGUGUGCUGCUGAUGUGAUCGAUUAAAUAAACCCUGCAGUGUAUAUUUUUUCCUAUUACUGUGUAAUUAAUGCCACUUACAGUGUUAUUAAAUGUAUAGCUGGCUAUUUGAUCAAUUUAUUUUAAACACAUUUUACAGUUGCAGCCUUUUCUGGUUGCUAUAUUUAUUUUGCACUUUGCGUCUUUGGGCAAGGCACUUCAAAUCAGCACAGUUUUAUACAGUAAAAUACGUAAAUCAAAUGCAGUUUACAGACAAAGAGAAAAAACAAGAGCCAUGCCUGUAAAAUAACUGAUAUGCUUUCUAAUUUAAGAGAUGUCAGAGCUGGAACAUCUAUUACAGGUUUGUUCUUACAAUAGUGCUUGGUUCAAUAACACAAGGCUUUUGGUAAGGCUUUUAUGGUGAAAUGACCAGUAAUUAUGAUUACUGUAAACUAAAAACGGAGGCGGAUCUGAGCAAUACGCAUCGUCCCGUCACCACAGACAUAAACAAACACGAUAGCUGCUUCUGCAUCCAGCUCUCAAAGAAUAUCACAGACAUCUGCAGAGCUUUUUGAGAUGUUACAGUGCUAAAAUAAUGACUUGGAUCACAUUAUAGAGGAGUUUGGUGAUAAAACGAGUGAUCAGAUGAUGAUUUAUCAGUAUGCACAACUAUGAAGGGGGCAGCGGUGUGGAGUAGUGGUUAGGGCUCAGGACUCAGUGUGGAGUAGUGGUUAGGGCUCUGGACUCUUGACCGGAGGGUCGUGGGUUCAAUCCCCGGUGGGGGACACUGCUGCUGUACCCUUGAGCAAGGUACUUUACCUAGAUUGCUCCAGUAAAAACCCAACUGUAUAAAUGGGUAAUUGUAUGUAAAAAUAAUGUGAUAAUUUGUAACAAUUGUAAGUCGCCCUGAAUAACGGCGUCUGCUAAGAAAUAAAUAAUAAUAAUAAUAUUACCAAGUAAUGUGAGUGCGCUUGCUGAGCACAUAUUGGGGUGUAUUCGAUGUUGGGUCAUAAUACCACUAACAGUGCAAAGGAGUUUAUUUUGUGUAUUUCUUUCUGUGAAAACUUCAGUUUUUUUGAUUGAUUUGAGUGGUGAUAUGUGACAGGGCAGCGUCACGACCCAAGAUGUUACAGGCAGGGAGAGGGACUCAGAGCAAAGAAGCUGCAAUUUAAGCGCGUCUGCGCACAUUUAUUAACAAGUAUAGUAAACACUAAACAAAACACAUUAACAAACAAAAAGGCACAAGGUCAACACAAAAACUCACAGCACAGUACCACAGCAACACGCACCUUCACCAACACCGACAUUAACCUCUCUAA